rnacentral:lncRNA from 10 species
AUAGUGUGGACUGUUCCUUUUUAAUUAGAAUGCCUGAGCAUUAGUGAGUGGAUCUUGUGACAUCUAUUUUAACAGCUUAGGGUCUUUUUGUUUUCUUUUACAAGCCAAACUUUAUUAAGUGAGAUAUGUUAGGGUGAUCCACUGUCCAGAGGGUUCCCAGGAUGCAGGACUUUCAGUAACAAAACCAAAAAAAGUCCUGGUUUAAUGGGACAAGAUGGCCACACUAAUGCUGGAAUUGGCUUCUUGAAAAUGUGAGGCAUCAUUUUAUACUUAAGUGCUUAGGCUCUGGAGCUAGCUCCUCUGGGUGAAAAUCCUGGCUCUGCUGUUUAAUGCACCAUCUUGGUAAAAUUCUUUACCUGUUUGUAUGUCAGUUUUCUCCAUCUGUAAAAUGGGCGUAAUAAUGAUGUUUGCCUCUUAGGUAUAUUUUAAGCAUUAAGUUAGUUAAUAUAUAUAGUCCUGAAUAUAAUGCCUUACAGUAAACACAUUAAUUUUAGUUGCUAUUGCUAUUCUUAUUAUUGAGUUUUUAGUUGCUACAGCCAAAUAGAUGGCAAUGAAUUUAGAGUAAAUUUGAGUACUGGACUUCCCACAAAGUUUAAGUAGAGCAUAUAUCCUAAAAUGCUCUGAACUAUCACUAUUAUCCAGAUAUUAGUUCUUCCAUUAGAUUUGCAUAUCAUUUUUUUUCUGUUUUCCCCAAUCUUCACAUUAUCAUUAAGCAUUAUUCUGCAUUUGAUUUGUAAAAUGAAGCUAUGCAUUUGCCCUAUAACUUUUCCCACUCUUUCCUUUCCCUAUGUCCAGGCAUAAAGAAACAGGAAAAGAAGUAAGAAAAAUAGGAGGAGAGAGAAACAAUCACCUUGUCAUACAAUGUCACAGUGGUCAUAUCCUAGUCAGAAUAAAAUUUGGUAUUUGCUCUAUAUCUACAUCCAAUGAAGUUUUCACUCAAUCUAUAUCCAAUGGCUUUCUUUUUAUUUAUUCUUUCCUAAAACGAAUUCUUUUAGAAGACCAUUUUAUAGAAUAUAGCAGUUUUUAAAAAAUCAAUAAAACAUGACAGAGUAUAUUUUUAAGUGCAGUACCAAUUGAGAUCACAAAAAAUAAUAAUAAUAAUAAUGGCUCUUACCUUUUAUUAGGGGACUUAAUUCAGGAAAAGUAUACUGGAUCAAAUGUUUCACAUAUGUCACAACUCAUUUUUGGCCUUACAACACUUUUCAAGUCCAUUUGUUCUAAUUAGCUCAACAGGAAGGUGAGUUGAAAUGCAUUGGCACCCUACAGAUAGGACAAUGACAACACAGGCUCUUCCUUUGGAGUCACUGCCCCAAAAUAAUAUGUAUAAUCUCACUCACUGAAAACGAGAAG